ACUAACAUGACUAAGGUAAGCUAAUUCCAAUUAAAUUUUGAGGCAUGUGAAAUGGCAAAAUUAAGUCAAAUGCUACAUGUUGGUGGUCAGCUUUAAGUACUUGUGCUAUUUUUGAGUGAAAAACUAAGGAAAAUAUAGUGUUAAUCACUAAAAUGUGAAAACAGACACUGUGACAUUAUGUCAAAUACAUCUGUUUAUGCCUAAGGUGACAUGAUUUGUAAAUGAUGUCAUAAAAGCCUAACUGAAGCCUGCAUGACUGUCAAAGUAAAAUUUUUAUUCGAUUUGGUUACUUUGCAUUAUAAUUAGCUGUCAUGUGAACACAGUUUGAUUCGCAUUAGUUUGAUUUGCAUUUAAUUUAGUUUACUUCGCAAUAAUUUACUGCGAAUUAAACUCUCCGUCUGAACAGGGCACUAGACUCUAAAGUCACAUGACGUCGUAGUGUAAGUUUGGCCUACAAUACCACUUUAAAGCUUGAAUGUAGCUCAAAGAAGCAAAGCACUGUGGGUCCAAAGUUACUGCAGAAAAAAAUUUAGUAUAAUUUAUUGACAAAAAAAUUGCACACAAUAUAAUAUUGCUCAGUUAAUUAAAUCAAUAUUUUAUUAUGUCAUAUGUAUGUUUCUUAGUUAAAUUGCAAAAGAAAUUUGUAAAAAAAAAAAAAUGUAAUAGUAGAGUUUGCUUUUUUUGUGAUAAGGCUGCAGAAAUGGUUUGUUUGUUAAUUAGUCUAUUGAAAAUUUUUCAGUCAUUUUAUGAUGCCACCACUUGGGAUAGUAAGCUGCAAAUAUAGACUUGUACUCAGCACUUAUUGCCUUUGAGAAGUAAGGGAUCCUUUUCGUGCCAACACCCACACCUACUGUGACACAGAAUCUCGGUUUAUACAGUCUCUUUGGAGUAACCUGUCUCUAGCAUUUAGCAGUGUGACUGUCAUCUGAGUACUGAAAUUUGAUGCCAAGCAUGAUCAUGAUUUGCCAGAAGAGCCUCUUUUGGGAGAUGACAAAGAAAAAACAGCAGACUGAAAUUGAAACAAUCAACUGAAUCAAGUCUCAGUUUAAGAAGAUGAUUUUAAAUAUAUCAUAUUUAAAUUUUGAUUUGAGAAACAGACAUAAAUCCAAAAAUAUGAUUAUAUCAAUUGCUUUCAGUUUUUCAAGAUAAAUAGAUUUUGUUGCAAAAUCUAAUAUGUUUAAUUUGGAAUAAAUGUUCUUUUAAAUAUU